CAGCAUGGUCUUAGCUUGCUAAGGCCGAUGGCGACCGGCGCACGGGUGAGUAACACGUAUCCAACCUGCCGACAACACUGGGAUAGCCUUUCGAAAGAAAGAUUAAUACCCGAUGGCAUAGUUCUUCCGCAUGGUGGAACUAUUAAAGAAUUUCGGUCAUCGAUGGGGAUGCGUUCCAUUAGGCAGUUGGUGAGGUAACGGCUCACCAAACCUUCGAUGGAUAGGGGUUCUGAGAGGAAGGUCCCCCACAUUGGAACUGAGACACGGUCCAAACUCC
rnacentral:rRNA from 1 species